AUGCAGGAUACGGUAAAAGAAAUUGUUCCAGCAAUUGCACACACAAGCGGGAAUGUUAGUGAUGCAGAAGGCAGUGCUAUCGGGGAUUUCAUAGGACUGAAACCACCUGAGCGGAAAAGGAAAGCCGCGCGACCAACAAAUAGCAGAGAUAAGCCUCCGUAUGAUGACCGGGGUGCAAAAAGCAAAAGGAUGAAGCAACGCACAGCUGCUGAAGAUGUCGAUAGGUGUGGCACGAGCAAACGACUCGCUUCUGCAGCAUAUGCCGAGAACCUGGUCACAAGAGCACAACUUGUCCGCGACGAGGAGGUCUUCCACCGAAGGAAAGGAACGAGGCUAAAUGCUCUAUAUGUGGUGUCGGUGGCCACAGGAGAAACACCUGCAACAAGCCAAAGGUUGUUCUAUAUGUUGCUGGGACAACUAACGUGGACACGAAUGCACUCACCAGUCUGA
rnacentral:rRNA from 1 species